ACCUCAUCUGCCCCUCAUACAUUUUGCCCUCCAGACCUGUCCCCAUCUUCCCGGACCUCCUUUUGACACUCUCUAGUAGUUUUAUGUCUUGAUGUUGUGGCAACUAAGCCCACAACAGUGCUCGAGCAUACUCUCAGCUCCUUCAUGCAAUUCUCCAGCUCCACUUGUCUUAUCUACUCUUUCUUCCUACCACAUUUCAAGUUACCUUGAAUCACAUGGCACCAAUCACCAGAUAGUUUUAAAUGUGGCAGCUAUAAGGCAACGGAAGUGAGAAAGAAAUCUGACAACUUGGGUCUCACUCUUGCUUUGUCCAGCAAUGCCCCUGAUUUUUGGAGCUUAGGCUUGGCUAACUUGUAUCUGAGGCAAGAAGAUUUUGGCACAGAAAACAUUACGUUCAAUAAUUUUACCCAAAUCUAAAUCUAAGGGCUAAACUACGAGUCCACCUGCUCCUGACUAGGGCUAUUUCUGAUGGCCUUCCUUCUAGUGUAGAAGUGCAAACCAGCCCUGGCCAUAGUCUUCUAUAAUAUUCAUUCUACAUGGGAGGAGACAGUAUGGGUCAGAUACACGCAGCAGUGAAUAAGCUCACUUGACCAAUGCAAAUAAGUUUGACCAGGGAGGCAGGGGAUUUGCUUUCUGCUUUUGGUUCAGCCCCAGCUGGUGCAUCCAAGGUGACAAAAUACUGUAUGAGUGCAGGUGCUCUGGGGACACAAACAGGAAAAUGGAGAUCAGAUGCAGCUGUAGCUGAAGAAGGGGAAAAUUCAAGAAAAAGACAGCAGAUAAGAGAAUGCUAAAAAGAGCAAAGAAAUGUUUGAGAAGGGGUAGUUAAAUAUAUAUAUAUAUAUUUUGCUGACUUACUCCUGCAAGGUAGUUCCGGCAGAAUAAUUUUGUCUAUUUUGUUAUCAUGCCAAAUUUUGGCAGGUGUUACUGGGGGAAGGUUGGAAGUUUAUUGAAAAAAGUUUCUAGAUGUUAUUGGAAAGGGAUUAAGAAGCUGUUGACUCAAGCUAGCAUUGAAGGAUGUGCUGAAGGUCACAGCUGAGGGGCACUGACUGGUGUUACUGGACAUGGUAAAGAAGGAAUGAUAAGGAUGUGAUUUCGAAGUGCUCCCAAGUUCAUAUUCAUUCUUCAAAGAAUUUGUUCCUGAAAUUUGGUCAUGGAUGUAUUCCUACUGGAGGGCUCACUCUGCAGCCAUCCUUUCAUCUCCUUUUGGUAUAUAUGGCAUGAGAUACGAAUGAAAAAGAAUAUUACAAAAAGGAUAUUUAGAAACAUUCAGAUGGAGAUUCAUGGACUGCUUUCUGCCUAAACUUCAGCUAUCAGAAGCCAACUUAAAUUCACAGACACUGUAGGCACUCACAUCUCCAGACAGCACAGUUUCAGAGCCCCAACCACAGCGACAUCACAAGCAAAAGGUGGCAAACAAUGGGCAAAGAGAAAAUAAUUGUGAAUGCAUCAUAAAAGGCACCGAUCACUCUCUGAUCAUAAUAUUCAAUAAAAUAAAAGAGGGGAGGGGAGGAGUACAAUGAAUAUUUGUGAAUCAAAAUUUCUUUUACUGUGCUCACCACACAGGGAAAAAAGAAAAAGCUGUAUUUUGCUUCCCUGAUUUUUUCCACUAAACAGGGAGGUUUCAUGGGUAUUCUAGAGUAAUAUUCAGCUGUGAAUCCAAUUUAUGCAGUGGGAUAGGAUUAAAAAAGGAACAGAAGGUCUGGAUUCUGAACCUGCUCUAACAGCUUUGAUUUGAAUACAACCCAAGUCUUGAAAUGGCUUGUUUUCCACUUCUGGUUUGGAGCUGGUUGAAAUAUUGCCACAGUAGCACUUCCUGUAAAAUUUUUGUCCAAGAUUCUCAUUAUUUGGAAUUAAACUCUAAAGAUUUUGGCACCAUGAAAUCCAAACAAAACUCCAUUCCUGACUCAACUGGCCCAGGAGUCAACUCAAGCUUAAUCUGGUCCUGGGUCCAAAUCCAGCUUCAGCCCAUUUCCACUGUUAUAUAGAUUAUGCCAUAAUACCACCUCCAGCUUCGGGAUUUAUAAUGCCUCCUUGCAGGAUGCAUAUUUGUGUGUAAAUACAUAAAUCAUAUCAGAUAAACAAAGGAGGCAUGCCAGAAAACAGGAGGGGAGGGAAGAGGAGAGAUACCUACCAAGCAGUUUGUCUCUAAAGUGUUGCCAGUUGUGAAAGGACUUGACGUGCUAAUAUCCGCUCAUUCAGACUCUUACAGACAUGCUAAGAGCGUGACGGCUGGCAGGCAGUGCAUUUAAGUGCUGUUACUGAGGCCCCCAAAUAUUGACAGAGUGCCAGACUCUGAGAAACUAUUGAUGUAUGCAGCCGGCCGCUGCUCCAGACACCUCUCAGACAGAGUCUUUAAAUGUCACAGAUUAAUGAAUUUUCAUGAAAUGGAGAAUGAGAGAAAGAAUUAAAAAAAAAAAAUAUCCCACAGCACCAACAUGAAAGCAUCUUUUAUCCCUACACAAAAUUCUGCCCUCAAGCCUCAAGAUUCCUAAUAGAUUGUAACAGAUCGUAAGUCAGCAGUAGAUGCAGGGUCGAGGAGGCGACACCCUCGAGAUCAUGCAGAGCAUCCUCAAACAAAGCCAAAAUGAGAGAUGAUCGUUCU
ensembl:lncRNA